UUGAUCCUGGCUCAGAAUCAACGCUGGCGGCGUGCCUAACACAUGCAAGUCGAACGCGAAAGUGGAGCAAUCCAUUAGUAGAGUGGCGAACGGGUGAGUUACACGUGGGUGACCUACCUUCGAAUGGGGGAUAACGUCCCGAAAGGGACUCUAAUACCGCAUAACAUCCUGCUUUUGAACAGGUGGAGAUCAAAGCCGGUGAUCGCAAGACCUGGCGUUUGAAGAGGGGCCCGCGUCUGAUUAGCUAGUUGGUGAGGUAACGGCCCACCAAGGCGACGAUCAGUAUCCGGCCUGAGAGGUCGGACGGACACACUGGGACUGAGACACGGCCCAGACUCCUACGGGAGGCUGCAGUGGGGAAUUGUUCGCAAUGGGCGCAAGCCUGACGACGCAACGCCGUGUGGAGGAUGAAGGUCUUCGGAUUGUAAACUCCUGUUGCCCGGGACGAAUCGUUUCGACCUAACACGUCGAGGCCUGACGGUACCGGGUGAGGAAGCCCUGGCUAACUCUGUGCCAGCAGCCGCGGUAAUAAGGU
rnacentral:rRNA from 1 species